CAGAACAAGACAGAGUGGAUCCUCAGCAUGAGCAAAACUCUGCCAUCUUCAGAUGAAGCACCAUGUCAGCUGGGAUACAUGGAAGACCUCAUCACCCACGAUGAAUUCCCCUCCAACUUGGACGCUAAGCUGGAUCUCUUCCAUCAAAGUGGCCUCCAGAAUGGAAGCCAGUCUGCUCGCUGUUCCCUGUGAAUGGAGUUCCACUCUCCAGACCUCUGCGCCUCUCCCCGGAACCAGAAUGCUUCACUCCCGACGGGCGCCCCUCGGACCCCUUAGCUCCUUUCGGGCCUGAGCGUACAUUUCUCAUCCCCUUGAGUUGUUCUGCAUCUAAAAUUAUCUAGUUAUUCUUGGUGGCUUGUCUUCGGACAUCCUCCCGCCCCCUCCUAGAAGGCGGAGAUCGCUUUGCUUUGACCAUCGUGUCUCUCAGUUCUUAGAGCACAUUGAAUAAUGGGAUGGAAUCGUGCCUUUUCUGGGGAGUGACAGGAGGGCCACCCUGAACCUCACGCACGGUGACUCUGUGCGCUUGAGGGGAAGGGGUUCGCCGUCCACAUCCGCAGGGAGCUCGACAAGAGCCUGCAGCGAAACCGUUGGGGAGGGGAGGUUCCAAGGACCACGUGGAGGCUAGACUGGGACUGAACGUAGUCAGUGUAACCUCGGGGGGGGGGUGCCAGUUGGCUAAAGCUCCGUGCUGAGGAGUGCUGAGUGUCGGGCAGGAGUCGGGGCUGCCCCAAGUCACCCAGACCCUGCCUCCUUCUGAGCCCCCAAACACUUUCUCAUUCUGCUCACAGCUAAGUUAGAGAACUUGCUCUCCCUGCCUAGUCUGGGCCAGGAGAAGCUCCCUCCCCUAGCAUGGGUCCCUGAGCCUUCUCACGGCCGAGCAGGAAGGCUGGGACUCUGACCAGGCCCCCCGGGUUAGGGGAGUCCGACCCCCCGAUUUUAGAGGUGGGGGGAUAGGCUUAGAGAAGGGAAGCAACUUCGAUCCAGGCCAUACAGAAAGUUGUGACAGACUGGGAAUGAAAAACAAGGUCCUUUGGUUAAAUGCCAGACGGAGGAGCUUACAUUUGAUCCUGGAGGUAAUAGGUAUUUACCGCCUCUGAACCCUUUGCAGAUUUGAAGUCUGGGCUAUAAGAGGGCUGUACAAUCCUGAAAAUGCAAUAACUAGGGGUGUUCCUGUUGUUUCUCUCCUCCACGGAGCUUUGCACACAGUAGGAACUUCAUAAAUAAUGGUGGAAUAAAUGAAUUUGCACUUUUCAAACACAGGUUUUAAUCUCCCACACUGGUGAGUUCUUAGCCCCUCAAGCUCACAAAGCACUCAGAGAGGCCCAGAAAGCACUCUCUCUUCUCUGCUAGAGUCUAAUUCCCCAAUCCUCUUAGCUCAAGAUAUUGCAUCUUUCAUUUUAUCAAUUAUAGAAGGUACGAUUCUGGGCAGGAUCCAAGUGGAGGCUGCGGUUGCUACGGCCUCGUUACUCAGUUCCUCCCCAAACUUCCUCUCUGUUAUAAGGGGAUUCUGAUCAAAUCAGAAGCUAUGUGCGAGGUGGCCACGUUGGCCUGUCAGGCCAUCUCUCUUCCUGUCCCCGUCCUUCAGCCCCGGCCCAAGGUCUUCGAUCCCUCUAGAGCUCUGAUUUCCCUGCCAGUCACAGGUAUUUCUAAUCUAGAGAGCCCAGGCUGCUCAGCAUCCCUCCUCCUGCCAUGGCCGGCAGAUAAUUUUAGCCGUAGCCCCGACCCCUCUCCGCCUGCUUGUAUCCGUGUCUGUCCAGGGAGUGAGAUCCGGGCGUCUCUCGUGCUCUGAGGUCCCCCUUUGUUCUUCCCUCCACAUUUCUCUGGAGGUCUCCAGGUGGGUGCCCCUCAUGUGAAUAAAGCAUCUCAGAGAGUGCGAGCCUCGCCGGCUCCUCUGUCAUUCACGGGAAACCGCCCACAGCUCUCCAGCCCCUCGUCUUCCUUUAGCCCAGAACAUGGUGAGU